rnacentral:lncRNA from 10 species
GGAGAAUUGCUUGAGCCCGGGAGGCAGCGGUUGCAGUGAGCUGAGAUUGCAUCACUGCACUCCAACCUGGGAGACAGAUCCUGACUCCAUCUCCAAAAAAAAAAAACCGGGGAAACAGUCUCUCUAGUAGUGUUGGAGGAAUGGGGCUGAAUCCAGAGACCGGGACCAGUGAGUGGGUUAAAAAAAAAAAAAUCACUUUAUCAUGAAAUAAACACACAAAGUUCUGUUCUUCUUCCUGGCAGCUUCGGACGAAAUUACACAGGCAUCUCCCAUGCCCACCACCCGUUAGGAAUGUCCAUUCCUGGGCUGCGUGCGCAGGUCCAGCAGCCAGUCUGUGCAGGCGCCUGGCCCGGCCAGGGAGAUUGAGGCAGACCCCCACAAGCCCUGAACCCCAGUCUCAAGUUUUCUGCACGACCUGUACUUCAGUCACCAGACACUCCUCCAGGCCGGCUUUGCCCGCCUCCCAGACCACCUGCAGAGACGAGAGGAGGCAGGGUGAGUCGGCCACCCCCCAGAUAACAGAGCCCACGUCCUGAUCUGCGGGGGCCUGUCCCAUCUCAGAUCUGCUCUGUGGGCCAGGCAUGGUGUCUCACGCCUGUCAUCCCAGCACUUUGGGCCAGGCGCGGUGGCUCACGCCUGUAAUCCCAG